AUUGAACGCUGGCGGCAGGCCUAACACAUGCAAGUCGAGCGAGCGGCGGACGGGUGAGUAAUUUCUGGGAAACUGCCUGAUGGAGGGGGAUAACUACUGGAAACGGUAGCUAAUACCGCAUACCCUCAGAUGUGCCCAGAUGGGAUUAGCUCGUUGGUGGGGUAAUGGCUAACCUAGGCGACGAUCCCUAGCUGGUCUGAGAGGAUGACCAGCCACAAUGGAACGGAGACACGGUCCAGACUCCUACGGGAGGCAGCAGUGGGGAAUAUUGCACAAUGGGCGCAAGCCAGAUGCAGACAUGACGCGUGUGUGAAGAAGGCCUUCGGGUUGUAAAGCACUUUCAGCGGGGAGGCGUUACCCGCAGAAGAAGCACCGGCUAACUCCGUGCCAGCCGCCGCGGUAAUUC
rnacentral:rRNA from 1 species